UACGUAGGGGGCUAGCGUUGUCCGGAAUCAUUGGGCGUAAAGAGCGCGUAGGCGGCCAGAUAAGUCCGGUGUGAAAGUCAAAGGCUCAACCUUUGAAUGCCGCUGGAAACUGUCUGGCUAGAGUCCGGGAGGGGCGAGUGGAAUUCCUGGUGUAGCGGUGAAAUGCGUAGAUAUCAAGAGGAACACCUGAGGUGAAGACGGGUUGCUGGGCCGACACUGACGCUGACAGCGCGAAAGCCAGGGGAGCAAACGGG
rnacentral:rRNA from 1 species